rnacentral:rRNA from 1 species
CUACGGAGGAUCCGAGCGUUAUCCGGAUUUAUUGGGUUUAAAGGGUGCGCAGGCGGCCAUUUAAGUCAGCGGUUAAAUCGUGGGGCUCAACCCCAUUCUGCCGUUGAUACUGGGUGGCUUGAUUGCGGUCGAGGUUGGCGGAAUUCGUUGUGUAGCGGUGAAAUGCAUAGAUAUGACGAAGAACACCGAUUGCGUAGGCAGCUGACCAGACUGCAAAUGACGCUCAUGCACGAAAGUGCGGGGAUCGAACAGGAUUAGAUACCCUGGUAGUCCGCACAGUAAACGAUGAAUACUUGUUUUCGGCGAUAUAAUGUCGGAGGCAAAGCGAAAGCGAUAAGUAUUCCACCUGGGGAGUACGCCGGCAACGGUGAAACUCAAAGGAAUUGACGGGG